GCUGUAGCUCAGUGGUAGAACUUCUCUUUUCCAUGUAGAAGGUCCCAGGUUCAAUCCCUGACAUCUCCA